rnacentral:misc_RNA from 1 species
UCCGGUUUGUCACCGGCAGUCUGGCGUGAGUCCCCAACUUAAUGCUGGCAACACGCCACGGGGGUUGCGCUCGUUGCGGGACUUAACCCAACAUCUCACGACACGAGCUGACGACAACCAUGCACCACCUGUCACCUCUGUCCCCGAAGGGAAAGGCAUAUCUCUACACCGAUCAGAGGGAUGUCAAGCCCUGGUAAGGUUCUUCGCGUUGCAUCGAAUUAAACCACAUGCUCCACCGCUUGUGCGGGCCCCCGUCAAUUCCUUUGAGUUUCAGCCUUGCGGCCGUACUCCCCAGGCGGGGCACUUAAUGCGUUAGCUGCGACACCGA